UACUAAAACUUGCGGAACACUAAAUUCUGUUGCUUUAUUUAUUUGGUUAUUUCAUAAGUAACAUUUAAACGGAUUUAAAGUUUUACGUGCGUAUACGUACGUAUGAAAAACGCAACAGUGGAAAUCAGCCUUUAGAAGUUUAAGACAUGGGUUUUAUGGUUGGGAAGAUUUCUGCUAAACCCAGUUUGAAGUUGCACUUGUUGUGGCUUGGAAUGCAGCCGUUGUAUCAAGACGUGAAAAUCUGUGAUGUAGCGUUGUAAACAGAGCGAGGAGAAUGUCUAAAUUAUUCAUAUAUUGUAAUUACACAAUUCCUUUCAAUGAUCUAUUGUAUUGGUAGCCGUUGCCGUCGCGUUGCCGUUCCUGGCUACGCAGCCAGCCCGACGAUUUAGUCCCGCUAUGCAAAUAUUUUCGUGUUCAUUGACUGUGAAAACAAUCAAUUUGUAAAGAAAUGAAUAGUGAUAAUAAUUUUGAAUUUGCAUAGCGAGACUAAAAUUGUCGGGCUGGCUACGCCACUGGUAGACCAGAUACCUGUAUUUCACAAUACCGCAAAAACAGACAGUUUUGCGGUUAUACAGUAAUAAAAGUUCCAGUACUAUCCGGUAAAUAUCACAUACCGGAUAGUGCUGGAUGUCUAUAAUUAUGCCGGAUAUCGGCUCCCGGUGUCCGGAUCCAACAUAUCCCUAUCAUGUGCAAAGGCAUGAAAAAGGACAUUUUAUUCUUUAGCAUUUUGAAAACAUUUUUGGGCGCCACAUUUCUGGCUCUUCAUGUAACAAAACUCUUACUUCUCUCUUUUUCGUCCUCGGACGCAUCUUCAUCACUUUCUCCUAACACCCAGGUCCAUGGAUUACCGUCUGCACCCAUCAAAUAAUUCACGUUUGUUCCUUUCU